rnacentral:lncRNA from 10 species
GUAAGUCCAAUUAAAACUCUUUUCCUGGCCGGGUGCAGUGGCUCAUGUCUGUAAUCCCAGCACUUUGGGAGGCCGAGGUGGGCAGAUGAGUUGAGGUCAGCAGUUUCAAGACAAGCCUGGCCAACAUGGCGAAAACCCAUCUCUACUUAAAAUACAAAUAUGGGCCGGGUAUGGUGGCUCACACCUGUAUUCCCAGCACUUUAGGAGGCCGAGGUGGGCGGAUCACAAGGUCAGGAGUCGAGACCAGCCUGGCCAACAUGGCGAAACCCCGUCUCUACUAAAAAUACAAAAAUUAGCUGGGCGUGGAGGCGUGUGUCUGUAAUCCCAGCUACUCGGGAGGCUGAGGGAGGAGAAAUGCUUGAACCCAGGAGGCAGAGGUUGCAGUGAGCCGAGAUCAUGCCAUUGCACUCCAGCCUGGGUGACAAGAGCAAGAAUCCAUCUCAAAAUAAGUAAAUAAAUAAAUAAAUAAAUAAAAAUAAAAUACAAAUACAAAUAUUAGCUGGGUGUGUUGGUGCGUGCCUGUAAUCCCAGCUACCUGGGAGCCUGAGGCAGGAGAAUCGCUGGAGGCGGAGGUUGCAAUGAGCCAAGAUCUUGCCACUGCACUCCAGUCUGGGCAACAGAGUGAGACUCUGGUCUCAAAAACAAACAAACAAACAAACAGACAAAAAAACCCUUUUACUUCCCAGUCUCAGGUAUGUCUUUAUCAGCAGUGUGAAAUGGACUAAUACACCUCCAUUCCUUAUUUUAAAAAGAUGAAUUUAUCUCCUACCUCGCUGAAGUCCUUGAGCUUAAAAUGUUUUAGAUCCCUACCCUGUAUUUCCUAAUAAACCUUUCCUUAUCCUAGUUCACUCCUGAUCUCUCAUAUCAAGAUGGGGAUCUCUGCUCUCAUCACAUAUGUCUCAGGGAAGACAAUCCAUUCAGCAUCUUCUCCUCUACCUCUGUGCUUAAAUUUCUAUUAAAUUAAUAGAAAUUCAUUAAUUUAAAUUUCUGUAUUACUUCCUGUAUUCCUGCCUCUAAAUAUGUUCUAGUUUGUCUUAUCCUGAAAGUUUUCUUCUUUAGAUCCUUAAAUUUAUCUGUUUCUUUUCUUUCUCUGAAAACAUUUUGAAAUGUAGACAUAUCUUGCUUUCACUGGGUCAUUAUCUACUCACUUUUCAAACUCUUUUUUUUUUUUUUUUUUUUGUGAGAUAGAGUCUCGCCCUGUCUCCCAGGCUAGAGUGCAAUGGCGCGCUCUCUGCUUACUGCAAACUCCGCCUCCCGGGUUCCUGCCAUUCUCCUGUCUCAGCCUCCCAAGUAACUGGGACUACAGACGCCCGCCACCGCGCCUGGCUAAUUUUUUUGUAUUUUUUAGUAGAGACGGGGUUUCACCGUGUUAGCCAGGAUGGUCUCGAUCUUUUGACCUCGUGACCCGCCCGCCUCAGCCUCUCAGAGUGCUGGGAUUACAGGAGUGAGCCACCGCGCCUGACCAUUACCCAUGCUCUUAAUCAUGAUUUGUGUUUCCUCUUGGCCAAAUCCUGUGUUGGCCUAUCUCACUUAUAAUAAGACGGGGACUGCUGUCCUCCAGAAAAUGUUAACUAAAAGUACUGAAUUCUUCAUGGCAUAUGCUGAAUACAUGGGCUGAUCAUAGAUACAAUUCACAUAAAGAGUGAUGCAGAGAUGUGACCCAACGGGUCUACCUACCAGGGAGGAGGUGUGGUUUUUACUGGAAUAUUCUGGCAGGCAAAAGAUCUCUCCUUUUGGCUUUCUCCCUGCUUCUGAAACACAUCCCUUUCCAGGAAUGCAUGCUUUCUGAGGCAGACAAAAGAAGAGUUGUUCAAGGAGAAGAAGACUUAGAGACACAGACACACAGAGGGAAGAAGGCCAUAGAAAGACAAAGGCAAAGAUUGGAGUUGUACUGCCACAAGCCCAAGAAUGAGGAAACCACCAGGAGCUAGAAGAAACAAGCAAGGAUUCGUCCCUGGAUUGGUCUUUCAAAGGGAGCAUGGCCCUGCUGACACUUUAAUUUCAGACUUCUAGGCUGCAGAACCAUUAAAGAAUAAAUUUCCUUUGUUUCAAGCCAUGCUGCUUCUGUUGUUUUCUUAUGGCAGUCUUGGGAAACUAAUAUAUCUAUUCAUACAUAGAAAUGGAAAUGGGGAGAAACGGUGUUAAAGAAAGAGUGAGCUUCUCAGACUCCCCUUUUUGGUAUAGGUUUUACUUUUGGACCCAUGUUAAUAUUUUACAUAAUUAAUAAAAUAAAAUUAAGAAGUUUGAGGGAAACAUCUUUAAAAUGAAAAACAAACCAACAAACAAAUGAACCUAACAGUAUUUCCAUUCAACGUAUUGGAAAAAUGCAACCAAACUGAAGGUUGGAGCAAAGAAGGAAUCCAAAUAACUUGCAAAUACAUUAGCACAGUAUUUUGACUAUAAUACCUUCAGUGUAAAGACAAAAAAGACUUUCUGAAAGGUUCUGUAACCUCAUUAGCAAUAUUUUUGUAUUGGCAUGGAUUGGUACUUUUAGAACUGCUUUCAAUGUAAUCUAAGACUGACAAAUGAGAUUAUGUAUUGUGGACAAUUGUUGCACUGCUGGAAGAGGGAGUAACCACAUAAAAAGGAGUUGGGGAAUAGAACAGAUCUUCUAGUGUGGAAUUUAAAUUGGGAAUAUCAGCUUAUGAAAUAGUUAAAUAGAUACAUACAUGUAUAGAUAUAUGUAUACAUGUAUGGAUCAGUGUAUAUUAUAGACAUAUAUUAAUAUAUUAUCUAUUCUAGUGCUCUAAAUAUCAAUUCUGAGACAACUGGAGUUAUUCAAGACUUCUUCCGUACACUAUAUGGUCAGUUUCAUUUGGGUCUCAAAGUACAAGAUCCGCCAGUUACUUGUUAUUAAUUUUUCCAUGGCAUAGUCACACAUAUUUUUACCUGCUUUGAAACAGCUUUUAUGAUGUUAUGUUUUAAAACUUAUGAAAAUGAAUAUUUGCAGGGAUAAAUGAUUAUAAAGUAUUUAAAAGUUUGAUGUAAUAUCAUACAAAUUGACAGAUCAUAUUCCGUGAAAACAUUACAGCUAAUUAGAGGACAAUAUUUCUUAGAUUUCUACCCCCCAAAAAUAAUUCAUUUUAUCCUCCAUUUUGAGUGGUGCUGAAAAAAAGUAUUAAACAGAGUUCUUAAAAUAUGCUAUAACUAGUAGAAAUUAUUUUUUUAAUUUCUAUUGUUUUCAUUUUUCAAAGUAAAAUUUAUUUAAAAUUUAUAUCAAAAAUUAAGAUUUAUCAGACUAUGUCUACUUUGGCAAAAUAAACUGUUUUUGUGAUCAUUUUGUCUUUCACUAUGAGUCAAAUUAUUAAGGUGAGUUUUCUUUUCAGCUUAUUACAAUUAUCCUAAUAGACAGCACAGGAUGCUGUCAAAGUCUUAGUUUUGAGGGUUAAUAUUAAAUCACCAUUCUUAUAUUUCGCUUCCUCAUUAGAUCAAUAAUGCAAAAGGUCUAAUGUAAUGUCAAAGGACUUGCAUUCAUCAAACUGGAAAUACCUUGUGGCUGUUCAUUAGGGUUAUGCCUUCCCUGCUUUUAGAAAAUAUUACUGAGGGAUUUUUAUUCAACCAAUGAAUGCCUAUAGGAUAUUUUAUGAACCAAGUUAGAAAAUAGACUGGGGGAAACGUAUGGAUAAUUGGUAACCAGAACAAAACAGAAUAAGUCCAAGAUUAUGAAAUAUAAAUUCCUUUCUGUGCUAGAAUAAAAAUUGUACAAAUACAGUAUUAUUCAAAACACAUAUACUGUAGAUAUGGAGACUCUUGUUUAUCACCAUUUGCCUUAUAUAAUAUUUGCAUUUAAUAGAAACCAAAUAAUUUGAAAUUAACUUUGUAGUCAUAUUUUAUUAAUUUUACAUUUAAUUUUUAUUUAUUAGUUGGGUGAUACUCAGUGUAGUGCUUAUAGUCUGAAGCAGUUUUUUGAAAUCUGUAUUGAAACAUUUAAAAAAUAUCUAGUGGAGCUUCUUUACAUCAUUCUUCAGUUUGCCAUUUAUUUUUGUCAAUAUGCUAACCUCACAAAUGCUUUGCCUUGUGUUAUAAUAGUCCAAAAAUUACCCUAAUGUUUCCUUAAAAAGUAGUUUUUUAAAGAAUCUGCUACAUUAAUAACUUCAUGUAACAUUUAACAUGUAAUUAAACAACAUAUUAUGGAUUUACUGAGUUAUUGAGUUAGGAGAUUUUCACUGAAAUAACAAACUGUAUAGCCGAUUCAGUUAUAGCUGGUAUGUUGUAAAAGCAAGAUACAGACAGACUUAUAGUCACUUAAAGUCAUAUAAACUGCAUAAUUUCUGUAAUUUAUAAUGUUAUGUAAAUUGAAAGUACACACAUUAAAAGAUGCUUUACAUCAUUAAUUAUUAAUAAAAUGCAAAUUAAAAACCACAAUGAGAUACUAUGACACGCUUGUUUAAAUGGCUAAUAUUAAAAGAGGCUACCUGAAGUAUUGCAGAGAAGAGGGUGGAACUGGAACUCUGAUACUCUGACUAUGUGUAUGUAAAAUGACACAACCACUUUAGAAAAACAGCUCAACAACUUGUCUUGUUUCAUUUGCUAAGCAUAUGUCAGCCAUAUGGUAUAGCCAGUCUACUCCUAGAUAUUUACCCAAAGGAAUAAAAAGGAAAUAUAUGUCCGUAUAUCAUGUAUCAUUAUAAGAGAUACUUGUAAUAGUCAAAAUCAACCUAAAUGCCUAUGAAUAGGUGAAUACAUAACAUUAUAAUGUACCCAACAAAUGGAAUAUUAGCAACAAAAAUGGGGGAACUGCUGAUAAAAUCAACAACCAUGGAUGAACCUGAAAAUGUUCCUGAAUAAGCGAAGCCAAGACCUUCCCCUCCCCAAAAAAGAGUAUGUAUUAGAUGAUUCCAUUUAUACAAAACUCAACAAAAGGGAGACUAACUUGUAUUGAUAAAAAGCAGGCAAUGAUUGUUUGGGGAUGGAACGGUACGGUAGAAUGGAUGAGAGACA